rnacentral:rRNA from 1 species
UACAAGUCUCCUGGAAGGGAGCAUCGUAGAGGGUGACAAUCCCGUCUCUGACACGGACCGCCGGCGCUAUGUGAUGCGCUCUCGACGAGUCGAGUUGUUUGGGAAUGCAGCUCAAAUAGGGUGGUAAACUCCAUCUAAAGCUAAAUACGGGCGAGAGACCGAUAGCGAACAAGUACCGUGAGGGAAAGAUGAAAAGAACUUUGGAAAGAGAGUUAAACAGUACGUGAAAUUGCUGGAAGGGAAACGCUUGACGUCAGUCGCGUCGUCCGGGGAUCAACCUUGCCCUCUGGCUGGGCGUAUUUCCCGGUCGACGGGUCAGCAUCGAUUUCGACCGUCGUAGAAGGACUGGAGCGAAUGUGGCACUCCACGGAGUGUGUUAUAGCCUCCCGUAUGGAUGCGACGGUCGGGAUCGAGGAACUCGGCACGGCCCCUCGAGGGUUCGGGGCUUCGGUCCACGCAGCGUGCCCAGGAUGCUGGCAUAAUGGCUUUAAGCGACCCGUCUUGAAACACGGACCAAGGAGUCUAACGUGCCUGCGAGUGUUUGGGUGCAAAACCCGAGCGCGAAACGAAAGUGAAAGUCGAGACCUCCGUCGCGGAGGGCACCGACGCCCGGACCGGAGCCUUUGGCGAUGGAUCUGCGGUAGAGCAUGUAUGUUGGGACCCGAAAGAUGGUGAACU